GCUCGCGUAGCUCAGUGGUAGAGCAUUGUACUUAUGGGUUAACAUCAUCUCGCCUAAGCAGGAUAUGCAAGGGUCUCCGGUUCAAUCCCGGGCGUGAGCA